CAUCAAUUUUACAUUCAGCCUUUAUGACCUUCACUUUGAAGGUUGCUGCUCAACAAAGCAAUCCUGUGAUCUCGCCAGAGCCUUCAGAUUUCUCCUCUUCCUCACUACCAUCCUUACAUCUCCUGGCUGCACUGCAGCCUACAUUAGGUGUAAUUCAUCUGGCACAUUCAACUUGGAAAGCACAGCAAAGGGCUUUUCUUUCAUCAGUAGAGCACUCUUCACGUCUCAAGCAUCCCAUUAACUACAGUCAUCUCCCAGAGACACCGGCAGCACAGAGGUGUGGCUCAAAUCCCACUCACCGAGCUGCUUCUCAUCAGCUCCACCAAUGCACGUGCUUGGGCUGGCAUAUCACUAGGAGAGAGAACAGAAGAUUCCAGAUGUGUUUCCAAAAGCACGUCACCUUCUUGAUCCCCACUCCUCAUUGCAGGGGAUCUCAGCAUCAGCAGAAAUCAGAAUAAGGAAAGUUAUGCCUCAAAAGGCUGAGCAAACACUGAAGGACCAAGUCGCACAAGUGAAUAACCUGAUCCGAAAAGGCUUCAGCUGGGAUGGCUGCCAAGUGGCAGGCAACUGCAGAUUUAAUGGUUGUUAAACAUGUCACAAAAAGCUUUGGAAACAAAUUCUAUAUUGUCUGACAGUGAAUUAGGGAUCUGUACACUGAAGACUGG